GGUAUUGCAUGCCUGGUGUU
rnacentral:rRNA from 1 species